rnacentral:rRNA from 3 species
AGACCCGAAACCCGGUGAUCUAGCCAUGGGCAGGUUGAAGGUUGGGUAACACUAACUGGAGGACCGAACCGACUAAUGUUGAAAAAUUAGCGGAUGACCUGUGGCUGGGGGUGAAAGGCCAAUCAAACCGGGAGAUAGCUGGUUCUCCCCGAAAGCUAUUUAGGUAGCGCCUCGUGAAUUCAUCUCCGGGGGUAGAGCACUGUUUCGGCUAGGGGGCCAUCCCGGCUUACCAACCCGAUGCAAACUGCGAAUACCGGAGAAUGUUAUCACGGGAGACACACGGCGGGUGCUAACGUCCGUCGUGAAGAGGGAAACAACCCAGACCGCCAGCUAAGGUCCCAAAGUCAUGGUUAAGUGGGAAACGAUGUGGGAAGGCCCAGACAGCCAGGAUGUUGGCUUAGAAGCAGCCAUCAUUUAAAGAAAGCGUAAUAGCUCACUGGUCGAGUCGGCCUGCGCGGAAGAUGUAACGGGGCUAAACCAUGCACCGAAGCUGCGGCAGCGAACGUAUCACUUAAAGCGAUUCAGCGGGUUACGAUUGACGGAGCGAAGCGACGUCAAAGCGUAUACAAAGUC